rnacentral:tRNA from 1 species
GUGCCGGUAGAUUAGCCCGGCCAUGGCCUCAGCAAUGAGGCUGUGGGGAAAUAGAUCGCCUCCUUGGCAUGGAGGAGGUCCCGUGUUCAAAUCACGGCCGGUCCACCA